rnacentral:rRNA from 1 species
UACGGAGGGUGCGAGCGUUGUCCGGAAUCACUGGGCGUAAAGGGCGCGUAGGCGGCCUGAUAAGUAGGGGGUGAAAUCCUGCGGCUUAACCGCAGGGCUGCCUUCUAAACUGUCAGGCUAGAGCACAGUAGAGGCAGGUGGAAUUCCCGGUGUAGCGGUGGAAUGCGUAGAGAUCGGGAAGAACAUCAGUGGCGAAGGCGGCCUGCUGGGCUGUUGCUGACGCUGAGGCGCGGACAGCGUGG